CCUACGGGGGGCAGCAGUGGGGAAUAUUGCGCAAUGGGCGAAAGCCUGACGCAGCGACGCCGCGUGAGGGAUGAAGGUCUUCGGAUCGUUAACCUCUGUCAGCAGGGAAGAACGGUCACUGUGCUAAUCAGCAGUGAAUUGACGGUACCUGCAAAGGAAGCACUGGCUAACUCCGUGCCAGCAGCCGCGGUCAUACGGAGGGUGCGAGCGUUAAUCGGAAUUACUGGGCGUAAAGCGCUCGUAGGCGGUAUGGCAAGUCAAGGGGGAAAUCCCCGCGCUCCACGUGGGAACUGCCUUUGAAACUGGCAAACGUGAGUGUGUGAGAGGAUAGUGGAAUUCCAGGUGUAGGAGUGAAAUCCGUAGAGAUCUUGAGGAACAUCAGUGGCGAAGGCGACUAUCUGGCACAUAACUGACGCUGAGGAGCGAAAGCGUGGGUAGCAAACAGGAUUAGAUACCCGGGUAGUC
rnacentral:rRNA from 1 species